rnacentral:rRNA from 1 species
GCACAACGCGAAGAACCUUACCUACUCUUGACAUCCAGAGAACUUUCCAGAGAUGGAUUGGUGCCUUCGGGAACUCUGAGACAGGUGCUGCAUGGCUGUCGUCAGCUCGUGUUGUGAAAUGUUGGGUUAAGUCCGCAACGAGCGCAACCCUUAUCCUUUGUUGCCAGCGGUUCGGCCGGGAACUCAAAGGAGACUGCCAGUGAUAAACUGGAGGAAGGUGGGGAUGACGUCAAGUCAUCAUGGCCCUUACGAGUAGGGCUACACACGUGCUACAAUGGCGUAUACAAAGAGAAGCGACCUCGCGAGAGCAAGCGGACCUCAUAAAGUACGUCGUAGUCCGGAUUGGAGUCUGCAACUCGACUCCAUGAAGUCGGAAUCGCUA